UACGAAGGGGGCGAGCGUUGUUCGGAAUUACUGGGCGUAAAGGGCGCGUAGGCGGCGACCCAAGUCAGAUGUGAAAUCCCCGGGCUUAACCUGGGAACUGCAUUUGUGACUGCAUGGCUGGAGUGCGGCAGAGGGGGAUGGAAUUCCGCGUGUAGCAGUGAAAUGCGUAGAUAUGCGGAGGAACACCGAUGGCGAAGGCAAUCCCCUGGGCCUGCACUGACGCUCAUGCACGAAAGCGUGGGGAGCAAACAGG
rnacentral:rRNA from 1 species